rnacentral:misc_RNA from 1 species
GGUGAUCAUAACUGCAUUUCCUGGCUGUUGGGUGUGGCCAAAUCUCGUAAACUGGUUAUAAGCCAAUGCCAUGGAAACAGAUCCCCGCAUUAAACCAGCCCACCAUAUCGUAACCUGUUGUUUAAGACCAAACUUGUCAUGCUCAGAUCGCUUCAAGCAAUUGGAAAAAAGAGACAACGGGAACACAAAACAUGCCCUUCCAACCAGAACCAGACCAAGCAGUGCAGCGCUUACCCCAACAGAUUU